rnacentral:rRNA from 1 species
GAAUUUUGGACAAUGGGCGAAAGCCUGAUCCAGCAAUGCCGCGUGCAGGAUGAAGGCCUUCGGGUUGUAAACUGCUUUUGUACGGAACGAAAAGCUUUGGGUUAAUACCCUGGAGUCAUGACGGUACCGUAAGAAUAAGCACCGGCUAACUACGUGCCAGCAGCCGCGUUAAUACGUAGGGUGCAAGAGUUAAUCGGGAUUACCGGGCGUAAAGCCUUCGCAGGCGCUUUUGUAAAACAUAUGUGAAAUCCCCGGGCUCAACCUGGGAAAUGCCUGUGUGACUGCAAGGCUAGAGUACGGCAGAUGGGGGUGGAAUUCCGCUUGUAGCUGUGAAAUGCGUAGAUGUUCGGAGGAACACCGCUGGCGAAGGCAACGCCCUGGUCCUGUACUGACGCUCAUGCACGAAAGCCUGGGGAGCAAACAG